rnacentral:rRNA from 1 species
GAUGAACGCUAGCGGCAGGCCUAACACAUGCAAGCCGAGGGGUAGCAGGAUUAAGCUUGCUUAAUUGCUGACGACCGGCGCACGGGUGCGUAACGCGUAUGCAACCUACCUUAUACUGGGGUAUAGCCCGGAGAAAUUUGGAUUAAUCCCUCAUAGUACUAAUGAAUCGCAUGGUUUAUUAGUUAAAGCAUUGCGGUAUAAGAUGGGCAUGCGUCCUAUUAGCUAGAUGGUGAGGUAACGGCUCACCAUGGCUACGAUAGGUAGGGGGCCUGAGAGGGUGGUCCCCCACACUGGGACUGAGACACGGACCAGACUCCUACGGGAGGCAGCAGUGAGGAAUAUUGGUCAAUGGGCGCAAGCCUGAACCAGCCAUGCCGCGUGCAGGAAGAAUGCCCUAUGGGUUGUAAACUGCUUUUAUUUGGGAAUAAACCUCUUUACGUGUAGAGAGCUGAAGGUACCAAAUGAAUAAGCACCGGCUAACUCCGUGCCAGCCGCCGCCGUAA